rnacentral:rRNA from 1 species
CCUGGUGAUUUUAGCGAGGUUGACCCACCCGUUCCCAUCCCGAACACGGAAGUGAAACGUCCCAGCGCAGACGAUACUGAAGGGGCGACCCUUUGUGGAAAAUAUGCCACUGCCAGGG